rnacentral:rRNA from 1 species
UGGGGAAUCUUGCGCAAUGGGCGAAAGCCUGACGCAGCGACGCCGCGUGGGGGAUGACGGGUUUCGGCUUGUAAACCCCUGUUGCCCGGGACGAAACCACGCUUUCGAGCGUGUUGACGGUACCGGGUGAGGAAGCACCGGCUAACUCCGUGCCAGCAGCCGCGGUAAUACGGAGGGUGCGAGCGUUGUCCGGAAUCACUGGGCGUAAAGGGCGCGUAGGUGGCGGAGCAAGUCAACGGUGAAAGCUCGACGCUCAACGUCGAGUCGGCCGUCGAUACUGCUUUGCUGGAGCACUGUAGAGGCAGAUGGAAUUCCGGGUGUAGCGGUGGAAUGCGUAGAGAUCCGGAAGAACACCGGUGGCGAAGGCGGUCUGCUGGGCAGUAGCUGACACUGAGGCGCGACAGCGUGGGGAGCAAACAG